rnacentral:rRNA from 1 species
AGACCCGAAACCCGGUGAUCUAGCCAUGGGCAGGUUGAAGGUUGGGUAACACUAACUGGAGGACCGAACCGACUAAUGUUGAAAAAUUAGCGGAUGACCUGUGGCUGGGGGUGAAAGGCCAAUCAAACCGGGAGAUAGCUGGUUCUCCCCGAAAGCUAUUUAGGUAGCGCCUCGUGAAUUCAUCUCCGGGGGUAGAGCACUGUUUCGGCUAGGGGGCCAUCCCGGCUUACCAACCCGAUGCAAACUGCGAAUACCGGAGAAUGUUAUCACGGGAGACACACGGCGGGUGCUAACGUCCGUCGUGAAGAGGGAAACAACCCAGACCGCCAGCUAAGGUCCCAAAGUCAUGGUUAAGUGGGAAACGAUGUGGGAAGGCCCAGACAGCCAGGAUGUUGGCUUAGAAGCAGCCAUCAUUUAAAGAAAGCGUAAUAGCUCACUGGUCGAGUCGGCCUGCGCGGAAGAUGUAACGGGGCUAAACCAUGCACCGAAGCUGCGGCAGCGACACUGUGUGUUGUUGGGUAGGGGAGCGUUCUGUAAGCCUGCGAAGGUGGCCUGUGAGGGUUGCUGGAGGUAUCAGAAGUGCGAAUGCUGACAUAAGUAACGAUAAAGCGGGUGAAAAGCCCGCUCGCCGGAAGACCAAGGGUUCCUGUCCAACGUUAAUCGGGGCAGGGUGAGUCGACCCCUAAGGCGAGGCCGAAAGGCGUAGUCGAUGGGAAACGGGUUAAUAUUCCCGUACUUGGUGUUACUGCGAAGGGGGGACGGAGAAGGCUAUGUUGGCCGGGCGACGGUUGUCCCGGUUUAAGCGUGUAGGUGUGUGUUCCAGGUAAAUCCGGUUCACUUUAACACUGAGGCGUGACGACGAGGCACUACGGUGCUGAAGCAACAAAUGCCCUGCUUCCAGGAAAAGCCUCUAAGCAUCAGGUAACAUCAAAUCGUACCCCAAACCGACACAGGUGGUCAGGUAGAGAAUACCAAGGCGCUUGAGAGAACUCGGGUGAAGGAACUAGGCAAAAUGGUGCCGUAACUUCGGGAGAAGGCACGCUGACACGUAGGUGAAGUGAUUUACUCAUGGAGCUGAAGUCAGUCGAAGAUACCAGCUGGCUGCAACUGUUUAUUAAAAACACAGCACUGUGCAAACACGAAAGUGGACGUAUACGGUGUGACGCCUGCCCGGUGCCGGAAGGUUAAUUGAUGGGGUCAGCGCAAGCGAAGCUCCUGAUCGAAGCCCCGGUAAACGGCGGCCGUAACUAUAACGGUCCUAAGGUAGCGAAAUUCCUUGUCGGGUAAGUUCCGACCUGCACGAAUGGCGUAAUGAUGGCCAGGCUGUCUCCACCCGAGACUCAGUGAAAUUGAACUCGCUGUGAAGAUGCAGUGUACCCGCGGCAAGACGGAAAGACCCCGUGAACCUUUACUAUAGCUUGACACUGAACAUUGAGCCUUGAUGUGUAGGAUAGGUGGGAGGCUUUGAAGUGUGGACGCCAGUCUGCAUGGAGCCGACCUUGAAAUACCACCCUUUAAUGUUUGAUGUUCUAACGUGGACCCGUUACCCGGGUUGCGGACAGUGUCUGGUGGGUAGUUUGACUGGGGCGGUCUCCUCCUAAAGAGUAACGGAGGAGCACGAAGGUUGGCUAAUCCUGGUCGGACAUCAGGAGGUUAGUGCAAUGGCAUAAGCCAGCUUGACUGCGAGCGUGACGGCGCGAGCAGGUGCGAAAGCAGGUCAUAGUGAUCCGGUGGUUCUGAAUGGAAGGGCCAUCGCUCAACGGAUAAAAGGUACUCCGGGGAUAACAGGCUGAUACCGCCCAAGAGUUCAUAUCGACGGCGGUGUUUGGCACCUCGAUGUCGGCUCAUCACAUCCUGGGGCUGAAGUAGGUCCCAAGGGUAUGGCUGUUCGCCAUUUAAAGUGGUACGCGAGCUGGGUUUAGAACGUCGUGAGACAGUUCGGUCCCUAUCUGCCGUGGGCGCUGGAGAACUGAGGGGG